rnacentral:rRNA from 1 species
AUUGAACGCUGGCGGCAUGCUUUACACAUGCAAGUCGAACGGCAGCGCGGGCUUCGGCCUGGCGGCGAGUGGCGAACGGGUGAGUAAUGCAUCGGAACGUGCCCAGUAGUGGGGGAUAGCCCGGCGAAAGCCGGAUUAAUACCGCAUACGACCUGAGGGUGAAAGCGGGGGACCGAAAGGCCUCGCGCUAUUGGAGCGGCCGAUGUCGGAUUAGCUAGUUGGUGGGGUAAAGGCUUACCAAGGCGACUAUCCGUAGCUGGUCUGAGAGGACGACCAGCCACACUGGGACUGAGACACGGCCCAGACUCCUACGGGAGGCAGCAGUGGGGAAUUUUGGACAAUGGGGGCAACCCUGAUCCAGCCAUGCCGCGUGCGGGAAGAAGGCCUUCGGGUUGUAAGCCGCUUUUGUUCGGGAAGAAAUCCUCUGGGCUAAUACCCCGGGGGGAUGACGGUACCGGAAGAAUAAGCACCGGCUAACUACGUG